CCUACGGGAGGCUGCAGUGGGGAAUAUUGGACAAUGGGCGAAAGCCUGAUCCAGCCAUGCCGCGUGUGUGAAGAAGGCCUUCGGGUUGUAAAGCACUUUCAGUGGGGAAGAAAGCCUUGGGGCUAAUACCCUCGAGGAAGGACAUCACCCACAGAAGAAGCACCGGCUAACUCCGUGCCAGCAGCCGCGGUAAUACGGAGGGUGCGAGCGUUAACCGGAAUUACUGGGCGUAAAGCGCGCGUAGGCGGUCUGAUAAGCCGGUUGUGAAAGCCCCGGGCUCAACCUGGGAACGGCAUCCGGAACUGUCAGGCUAGAGUGCAGGAGAGGAAGGUAGAAUUCCCGGUGUAGCGGUGAAAUGCGUAGAGAUCGGGAGGAAUACCAGUGGCGAAGGCGGCCUUCUGGACUGACACUGACGCUGAGGUGCGAAAGCGUGGGUAGCAAACAGGAUUAGAUACCCCAGUAGUC
rnacentral:rRNA from 1 species